UUUUAGAGAAAGUCCGAGGCAGGAAGAUUGCUUUGAGGUCAGGAGUUUGAGACCAGCUGAGUAAAAGCGUGACUUGCCUCCACAGAAAACAGAAAAAUUGGCCGGCGUCGUGGUGUCCGCCUGUAGUUCCAGCUACUCCGGAGGCUGAGGCAGGAGCGUCGCUUGAGGCGGGAAGUUCGCCUGAGCCAGGAGUUGGCGGGAGUUUGCCGUUGCAGCCACCGCACUCUAGCGGGCUACAGAACGGAGAUCUUCACCCGUGAGGCGCCCCGCGCCGCAUGCGCAGUGGGGAGCCCGCCAUCUGCCCUCAGGCGCAGUUGUGUCUGACCAGCUCCUAAAGACGCUAGGUGGCUCUUGUGCAUUCUUUGUCACCCUGUUACCUGCUGGUACUGAGAAAUCCAUACCGAGGACUCUGAGACACCCGAGAGCUGGGAAAUGAUUUGACAUGAUUAUCUUCCUUUAUGAAGUUGCAAAUUUGGCAACCAACUCUUCAGAAUCCUUUAUUUCAGUUUCAAAAGAAGAAAAAGAAAAAAAAAAACCCCAUCAAGGUUGGACACACUAUUUCCCAGUUGGUUUCCAACUUGUUAACGGAAGCACAACAAGUUGAUUUGGAAUUGUAACGCUAAGCCACCACUUAGAGGACAAUUGCUCUGGAGACCCUUCCAACCAACAAUAGACUCUCUGUGAGCAGGAAAUAGAGCUGGAAGUUGCUUAUAGCCCCUCGCAGAAGGAAUUGUCAGCACAAACAAUACAGAUUGCAAAAUGAGAAAACUUGAAACAAAAGCAUGUGCUCAAAUCUCCCAGGUAAAUAUGCUUCCCAACAAA